CCACCUGUGAUCCAGUGGCUAAGAUGUCAGAUUUUGACUUUUGUUGAUUGGUCGAGUUCUGAAUGCCCCGGUUCGAACCCGGGCAGGUGGU